UUAGAUGAUGAUGAUAUUAUUAGUGAUGAUGCUGAAUCGUGGACCCAAAUGAUGUUGAAAUCCUCUUCACUGUACUAGUCAAGUGGAAACUCGGCGACAAGGCACCAGAAUUCAGUUCAAAACCCUUGAUUUUACUGAGCUAAAUGGAGUCCAGAAGCAGGUCUAUUGUUAACUGAUAAAUCGUAAUGCAAUUUCAGAUACUCGAAGAGCACGGCCUGUGAUGGAGUCAAGAAGCAGGUUUGCCUGAAAAGCUUGACGCUAAGUAUAAGAUCGGAGAUAUGCUAUGGUGUAACAAGAAUCUCAGGGUUUAUUGCAUAACUUAGAUGUGUUUGAAAAAAGCUUGAAGCUUAGUUUAAGGUCCGAGUGAUGAGUUAAAGAUAUGCGUACUAAAGAAUCGAGUCCAGAAGGAAGUUUGCAUGAAAAGCUUGAAGCAAAGUAAAAUAUAUUACGGAAGCUUCUUCUAAUUCUCUAUUCUUGUGCAGAUGGGUGAUAUGCUAUGAGUUUGAAGAAUGAAGAAGAUUUAGAACCAAAAAGAUACUCGGAAGAGCACGAUCUGUUAAGCGAGCUAAAUGGAUUUAAUAAGCAGUUUAACCUUUUGAUCAUUCAUCCGGGAGCUUACUGGACAAGGUGAGGAAGUUCGCUUUUGUACCAUGUCCUAUUAUGCAAGUGAGGUUGAUCACAUUGUCGUGUUGCAUUUGAUUUUGGGAAGCAAAGGUGCGGUAAACUUUGUUCAGUUGACAAGGCUACUACUAUCUUGGAGGUAAAUUCUUGAUAACUGCCGGAGGUUCUCCCAAUUACCUAAAUUGGGCCUCAGCUAGCUGGGUCUUUUGAAGGUCUUUGUGUUCGUGUUCCAGCCAGGACGGACGAUGCUUUCUUGUCUCAGAACACAAAAACGGUCGCCGGCGUGUUCUUACAGUAAAACAACAUCAAACUUGAUUAAAAGCUAAUCUAGGGAAAUGAGUGUUAAAAACGUAGUUACCACUACCAAUCUGAUUCAGCAAAGGCGACAAGAGAGCAAAACAAGUCCAGAGAUUUUUUUCAAGGACGUACGAAGUAGAUUCAGAACAAAAACGAUCGGAUAUAUGAUCCAAACAAAAGCAAACCUUCCCCAACGGUAACAACGUCAAACAUAGAGGUGAUGAUCAGAAGAAGACGUUGUUUUCGUGGUAUUGCUUCAACUCUCAUCUGAUUUGGCCAGAAACUCCACAACAACAAAAAAGAUUCUGUGAAACAUCUCUCCACAUAAACAACUCAUCGCCGGAGAGAAGAAGCUCAGUCGUCGACGCAAAGACUCUAUUACUUUUUCCGAACAAGUCAG